GAACUGAGACACGGUCCAGACUCCUACGGGAGGCAGCAGUGGGGAAUAUUGCACAAUGGGCGCAAGCCUGAUGCAGCCAUGCCGCGUGUGUGAAGAAGGCCUUCGGGUUGUAAAGCACUUUCAGCGGGGAGGAAGGCGGUGAGGUUAAUAACCUCAUCGAUUGACGUUACCCGCAGAAGAAGCACCGGCUAACUCCGUGCCAGCAGCCGCGGUAAUACGGAGGGUGCAAGCGUUAAUCGGAAUUACUGGGCGUAAAGCGCACGCAGGCGGUCUGUCAAG
rnacentral:rRNA from 1 species